GACGAACCGAGCGAACGUUGUUCGGAAUCACUGGGCUUAAAGGGCGCGUAGGCGGGUGCUCAAGUCCGUGGUGAAAUCCUCCGGCUCAACCGGAGAACUGCCUCGGAUACUGGGUGCCUCGAGGGUGGUAGGGGUAUGCGGAACUAUCGGUGGAGCGGUGAAAUGCGUUGAUAUCGAUAGGAACUCCGGUGGCGAAGGCGGCAUACUGGACCACCUCUGACGCUGAGGCGCGAAGGCUAGGGGAGCAAACGGG
rnacentral:rRNA from 1 species